AGGAUUCCCCUAGUAACUGCGAGUGAAGCGGGAAAAGCUCAAAUUUAAAAUCUGGUAGUCUUUGGCUGCCCGAGUUGUAAUCUAGAGAAGCAUUAUCCGCGUUGGACCGUGUACAAGUGUCCUGGAAUGGACCAUCAUAGAGGGUGAGAAUCCCGUCUUUGACACGGACUCCCAAGGCUUUGUGAUGUGCUCUCAAAGAGUCGAGUUGUUUGGGAAUGCAGCUCUAAAUGGGUGGUAAAUUCCAUCUAAAGCUAAAUAUUGGCGAGAGACCGAUAGCGAACAAGUACCGUGAGGGAAAGAUGAAAAGAACUUUGGAAAGAGAGUUAAACAGUACGUGAAAUUGCUGAAAGGGAAACGCUUGAAGUCAGUCGCGUUGGCUGGGGAUCAACCUUGCUUUUUUGCUUGGCUUACUUCCCAGUUGACGGGUCAGCAUCAGUUUUGACCGGUGGAUAAAGGUUAAGGGAAUGUGGCACCCUCGGGUGUGUUAUAGCCCUUGGUCAUAUACAUUGGUUGG
rnacentral:rRNA from 1 species